rnacentral:rRNA from 1 species
ACGGGGCCCGCACAAGCGGUGGAGCAUGUGGUUUAAUUCGAUGCAACGCGAAGAACCUUUACCUGGUCUUGACAUCCACAGAACUUUCCAGAGAUGGAUUGGUGUCUUCGGGAACUGUGAGACAGGUGCUGCAUGGCUGUCGUCAGCUCGUGUUGUGAAAUGUUGGGUUAAGUCCCGCAACGAGCGCAACCCUUAUCCUUUGUUGCCAGCGGUCCGGCCGGGAACUCAAAGGAGACUGCCAGUGAUAAACUGGAGGAAGUGGGAUGACGUCAAGUCAUCAUGGCCCUUACGACCAGGGCUACACACGUGCUACAAUGGCGCAUACAAAGAGAAGCGACCUCGCGAGAGCAAGCGGACCUCAUAAAGUGCGUCGUAGUCCGGAUUGGAGUCUGCAACUCGACUCCAUGAAGUCGGAAUCGCUAGUAAUCGUGGAUCAGAAUGCCACGGUGAAUACGUUCCCGGGCCUU